AGCAGUCGCCGCGGUAAUACGGAGGGGGCUAGCGUUGUUCGGAAUUACUGGGCGUAAAGCGCACGUAGGCGGCUUUGUAAGUCAGAGGUGAAAGCCUGGAGCUCAACUCCAGAAUUGCCUUUGAGACUGCAUCGCUUGAAUCCGGGAGAGGUGAGUGGAGUUCCGAGUGUAGAGGUGAAAUUCGUAGAUAUUCGGAAGAACACCAGUGGCGAAGGCGGCUCACUGGACCGGAAUUGACGCUGAGGUGCGAAAGCGUGGGGAGCAAACAGGAUUAGAUACCCGCGUAGUCCCUGUCUCUUAUAC
rnacentral:rRNA from 1 species